rnacentral:rRNA from 1 species
CAUCAGCCACGGUAAUACAGAGGGUGCGAGCGUUAAUCGGAUUUACUGGGCGUAAAGCGUGCGUAGGCGGCUUUUUAAGUCGGAUGUGAAAUCCCUGAGCUUAACUUAGGAAUUGCAUUCGAUACUGGGAAGCUAGAGUAUGGGAGAGGAUGGUAGAAUUCCAGGUGUAGCGGUGAAAUGCGUAGAGAUCUGGAGGAAUACCGAUGGCGAAGGCAGCCAUCUGGCCUAAUACUGACGCUGAGGUACGAAAGCAUGGGGAGCAAACAGGAUUAGAUACCCCUGUAGUCCCUGUCUCUUAUAC